rnacentral:lncRNA from 10 species
CUUAACCCAUGUAUUUAUAUACCUUGUCAAGUAAAAUGUAUUCUUUUUUAAUGAUUCUCAAAAGGAUACUCAUUGAAAAAAUUUAGAAAACACCGAAAAAUGCAAGGAAGAAAAAUACAAUUCUCUUACAAUCCUGUAUAAUCCUGUGCCUCUAGGCCUACAGUCAGCUCCAAGCAACGGCACAGACACCUCCUCCUCCGGAUGACCAGGAUUGCCUCUGGGUUUGUCACAAGCUGGAACAGGGUCCUUUGGAGGAUGGGGCUCUGUGAAGAAAAAGAGGUGAAGUGUUUGGAUUCAGUCUGAGCCAAAGGUGAGCGUUAUCAGUCCCCGAAAGGCCUCAGGGGUUGGCUGACUCUCUGAGAGGGGCCCGGGGACAUGGGGGGUGGGGCCCGAGGCCCAGGCAGAGGCCAAACAUUGCCCAGGGCCCGGCUUUAGUCUGCAACAACCCUCAUUGUUCUCUCACUGUCUCUAGGCCGCUUUAUCUGGGUUUAAGGACACAAGACUCCGUGAAAGACAAGCUAGUUCUUCUUCCUGCCCCGGCAGUCCACUGCAGGCCGAUGCAGACGCAACCACUUCCUCAGCCGCUGUGGCUGAGAGCCCGCCACUGCACUCUAUGGGCUUGGUGCUGGGUAUGGAGAGGAGGGUAUGACAUAGCCCCUGCCCUCAGAGUUUUUUCCUACUCAUUAUCCCUGCUGUCUCUGGGGACUUCUUAAAUGUCAGCAAUCAUUGUCAUCUUCACUGUUGCCUCCGCAGCCACCGCACAUGGCUGCACCUGGGCCAUCUCCUCUGAUGUAAAGGCUGUGCAGCCAAAAUUUGCAAUUCUUCCCCCAGCUUUUAAAAUUGUAGUAAAAUAUAUAUAACAUAAAAUUUGCCAGCUUCACUGUUUGUUAAGUGUACAGUUCAGUGGUAUGAAAUACACGCAUUGUGCUGUGCAAAGUCACCACCACCCAUCUCCAGAACUCGCUUUAUCUUGCAAAGCAGAAACUCUGUACCCAUUAAACGAUAACGUCCCAUCCCCAUCCCCCUUACCCCCAGCCCCUGUAAUGCUUGUUCUUUUCUUUUUUUGAGACAGGGUCUCACUCUGUCAUGCAGUCUGGAGUGCAGUGGCACGAUCAUAGCUAACUGCAGCCUCAACAUCCUGGGCUCAAGAGAUCCUCCUGCCUCAGCCUCUCAAGUAGCUGGGACUACAGGCACAGCACCACACCUGGCUAUUUUUGUUCUUUCCUUUUUCUUUUCUUCUCUUUUUUUUUUUUUUUUGAGAUGGAGUCUCACUCUGUCCUCCAGCCUGGAGUGCAGUGGCGCGAUCUUGGCUCACUGCAAGCUCCACCUCCCAAGUUCAUGCCAUUCUCCUGCCUCAGCCUCCCGAGUAGCUGGGACUACAGGUGCCCACCACCAUGCCCGGCUAAUUUUUUGUAUUUUUAGCAGAGACAGGGUUUCACUGUGUUAGCCAGGAUGGUCUCAAUCUCCUGACCUCGUGAUCUGCUCACUUUGGCCUCCCAAAGUGCUGGGAUUACAGGUGUGAGCCACCGUGCCCAGCCCUUUUUUUUCUUUUUUUAUUACUGGCUUAGGUUUGAGCAGUGAUCAUUUUAAGUUUUUUUUGUAGAGAUGGGGUCUCACUGUGUUACCCAGGCUGGUCUCAAAUUCCUGGCCUCAAGCAAUCCUCCUGCCUCAGCCUCCCAAAGUGUGGGGAUUACAAGUGUGGGCCACCAUGCCUGGUCUUCCUGUUUUUCAAAUAAAAUUACUUUUUAUUUAUUUAUUUAUUUAUUUAUUUUUAAAGAUGGACUCUCGGCCAGGCAAGGUGGCUCACACCUAUAAUCCCAGCACUUUGGGAGGCCGAGGCAGGUGCAUCACCUCAGGUCAGGAGUUUGAGACCAGCCUCACCAACAUGGUGAAACCCCAUCUCUACUAAAAAUAUAAA